AUGAAGAACGCAGCGAAAUGCGAUAAGUAAUGCGAAUUGCAGAAUUCAGUGAGUCAUCGAAUCUUUGAACGCACAUUGCGCCCUGUGGUAUUCCGCAGGGCAUGCCUGUUCGAGCGUCAUUUCAACCCUCAAGCUCUGCUUGGUGUUGGGCCCUGCCCGCUGCGGCCGGCCCUAAAGACAGUGGCGGUGCCGCCUGGCCCUGAGCGUAGUACAUCUCUCGCUCCAGUGCCCGGUGGUAGCCUGCCAGAACCCCAACUCUCGUGGUUGACCUCGGAUCAGGUAGGGAUACCCGCUGAACUUAAGCAUAUCAAUAAGCGGAGGA
rnacentral:misc_RNA from 1 species